rnacentral:rRNA from 1 species
AUUGAACGCUGGCGGCAUGCUUUACACAUGCAAGUCGAACGGCAACGAGGAGAAGCUUGCUUCUCUGUCGGCGAGUGGCGAACGGGUGAGUAUAGCAUCGGAACGUGCCAAGUAGUGGGGGAUAACCAAACGAAAGUUAGGCUAAUACCGCGUAAGCUCCAAGGAGGAAAGUAGGGGACCUAAAUAAGGCCUUACGCUAUUUGAUCGGCCGAUGUCGGAUUAGCUAGUUGGUGGGGUAAUGGCUCACCAAGGCAAUGAUCCGUAGCGGGUCUGAGAGGACGAUCCGCCACACUGGGACUGAGACACGGCCCAGACUCCUACGGGAGGCAGCAGUGGGGAAUUUUGGACAAUGGGGGAAACCCUGAUCCAGCCAUGCCGCGUGUAUGAAGAAGGCCUUAGGGUUGUAAAGUACUUUUGUUAGGGAAGAAAAGCUAGUUUUUAAUAAAAAUUAGUGAUGACGGUACCUAAAGAAUAAGCACCGGCUAACUACGUG